rnacentral:rRNA from 1 species
UAGGGAAUAUUGGUCAAUGGGGGCAACCCUGAACCAGCCAUGCCGCGUGCAGGAUGACGGCCUUCUGGGUUGUAAACUGCUUUUAUAUAGGAAGACUAAAGGGAUGCGUCCCUGUAAGACGGUACUAUAAGAAUAAGGACCGGCUAACUCCGUGCCAGCAGCCGCGGUAAUACGGAGGGUCCAAGCGUUGUCCGGAAUUAUUGGGUUUAAAGGGUGCGUAGGCGGCCAAUUAAGUCAGAGCUGAAAUCUUACGGCUUAACCGUGAAACUGGCUUUGAUACUGAUUGGCUUGAGUAUAGUAGAGGUAGGCGGAAUUUAUGAUGUAGCGGUGAAAUGCAUAGAUAUCAUAAAGAACACCGAUUGCGAAGGCAGCUUACUGGACUAUAACUGACGCUGAGGCACGAAAGCGUGGGGAGCGAACAGG